UACGGGGGGGGCAAGCGUUGUUCGGAAUUACUGGGCGUAAAGGGUUCGUAGGUGGCCAACUAAGUCACACGUGAAAUCCCUCGGCUUAACCGGGGAACUGCGUGUGAUACUGGAUGGCUUGAGUUUGGGAGAGGGAUGCGGAAUUCCAGGUGUAGCGGUGAAAUGCGUAGAUAUCUGGAGGAACACCGGUGGCGAAGGCGGCAUCCUGGACCAAUACUGACGCUGAGGAGCGAAAGCCAGGGGAGCAAACGGG
rnacentral:rRNA from 1 species